rnacentral:lncRNA from 1 species
GUUUUGUAUCUCUGUAAAGUAUGGGUAUAUUGUAUAUAUAAAAUACAUUCAUGUAACAAUAACUCUUUCCACCAACCAUCUGAAUUCUGCCUGCCACCACGUUAGGGCCCCAAGUAACACAGAGAGACAUAUUAUUUACAAUGCUGCUGGCCAAUGACUAAGAUUUCUUGUGUGCUAGCUCAGUCUUAAUUAUUAACUAUAACUACUAAUCUAUAUAUUUUAUAAGAACUUAUCGAGGACGUUGGCCAUAUGGGUCCUCUCUUGCCGUGGAUCACAUGGCGACUCCUGUCUGUUUCCUACAUUUCCCAGAAUCCUCCUUCUCUCCUAGUCCUGCCUAACUUGCUCCCCUAUUGGCCAACAGUGCUUUAUUUAUCAACCAAUAAGACAAACAUAUAUACAGAAGGACCUCCCCCAUCACAUUCACAUACACAACACGGGUGUUUAUGCAUAUGUGCACAUUGUGUGCACACUGAAUAUUAAGACGCAUUAUUUCCCCAUAUGCAGCUGGAAUUUCUUGUCUGGUGGAUCCUAGACCAAGACAACAUUCUUCCAGUCAGAGCUGAUGAGUCAGGCUAUAUGAGAACUUCACGUAUGAGAACUACAUAUCUGAGAACUACAAUGUAUGAGAACUACAGGUCUGAAUUUUUCAGAGUCAUAAGUGUUUUACCCACUAUUGGACAAGGAGAUCAAACACAUCAACAAACAAACCAAAUUAUUCUGCAGCCCCAAGGGGGCAUUAAGGAGAUGGGGGUUUUCCGUUUGGUUUUGGUUUUUCCUUUUAAGUAUUGUUUCUGCUUUGACUGGGUGAGCUCUCGAAGAGGGCAACUGAGAGUCUUCAUGUGAGCUUCUGCAGCAUCCUGACCUCCAGUCUAUGUGGCCCAAUAGCAUCAUUCCCCACUUAGAAACUAGACACCCAGGAGCCAGGGAUUCACAUGCCAAAGGAGCUAAUGCCAAAGUUGUCCUGAAGCUCACACAGCUCCCAUGCAGUCGUCUCCCAUCCUUCACCAGAUAUUCACCUUUUGGAGGGCUCAGAACAGCUCAGUGUCAGAGCUCCCAGCACACUGAUAGUCAGCUUUAACCCAAGGGGAGAGGAUAAUCG